rnacentral:tRNA from 1 species
UUGAUAGAAAAACCAUCGUUGUUCUUCAACUACAGAAACACU